UUUCCGUAGGUGAACCUGCGGAAGGAACAUUACAGAGUUCAUGCCCGAAAGGGUAGACCUCCCACCCUUGUGUAUUAUUACUUUGUUGCUUUGGCUAGCGCAUUCUCGCCAGAGAAUACCAAAACUCUUUUUAUUAAUGUCGUCUGAGUUCUAUAUAAUAGUUAAAACUUUCAACAACGGAUCUCUUGGUUCUG
rnacentral:misc_RNA from 1 species